UACGUAGGGGGCGAGCGUUGUCCGGAUUUAUUGGGCGUAAAGGGUGCGUAGGCGGCGCGGUAAGUCGGGUGCGAAAUCUCGGAGCUUAACUCCGAAACUGCAUUCGAUACUGCCGUGCUUGAGGACUGGAGAGGAGACUGGAAUUUACGGUGUAGCGGUGAAAUGCGUAGAUAUCGUAAGGAAGACCAGUGGCGAAGGCGGGUCUCUGGACAGUUCCUGACGCUGAGGCACGAAGGUCAGGGGAGCAAACGGG
rnacentral:rRNA from 1 species